AAACUAACAAGGAUUCCCCUAGUAGCGGCGAGCGAAGCGGGAAAAGCUCAAAUUUGUAAUCUGGCGCCUUCGGCGUCCGAGUUGUAAUCUCGAGAAAUGUUUUCCGUGUUAGACCGCAUACAAGUCUCUUGGAACAGAGCGUCAUAGUGGUGAGAACCCAGUACACGAUGCGGAUGCCUAAUACUUUGUGAUACAUUUUCGAAGAGUCGAGUUGUUUGGGAAUGCAGCUCAAAUUGGGUGGUAAAUUCCAUCUAAAGCUAAAUAUUGGCGAGAGACCGAUAGCGAACAAGUACCGUGAGGGAAAGAUGAAAAGCACUUUGGAAAGAGAGUUAACAGUACGUGAAAUUGUUGGAAGGGAAACACAUGCAGUCAGACUUGCUAUUCGGGGCAACUCGAUUGGCAGGCCCGCAUCAGUUUUUCGGGGCGGAAAAGCAUAGAGAGAAGGUAGCAGUUUCGGCUGUGUUAUAGCUCUUUAUUGGAUUCGCCCUGGGGGACUGAGGAACGCAGCGUGCUUUUAGCAUGAGCUUCGGCUUAUCC
rnacentral:rRNA from 1 species